rnacentral:rRNA from 1 species
CGCCCGCCGCGCGCGGCGGGCGGGGCGGGGGCACGGGGGGCCUACGGGAGGCAGCAGUGGGGAAUAUUGCACAAUGGGGGAAACCCUGAUGCAGCGACGCCGCGUGAGUGAAGAAGUACUUCGGUACGUAAAGCUCUAUCAGCAGGGAAGAAGAUGACGGUACCUGACUAAGAAGCCCCGGCUAACUACGUGCCAGCAGCCGCGGUAAU